CAUAGGCAUUCAGAAUCUGGUGAAAAAAUCUUCUAGGAGCAGCUAACAAGAAUCCUAAUACAGGAGUGUUUAUGGUUGGGUUGAGACACAUUCAGUAGCUGAGUGAUUGACAGCAAGAGGAGCAAGACAUGAGGUUAAUAAUUAUCAAAUAUAUGGCAAUGCUGGACUUUAGCUGAUCAUCGUGCUUCUGGAAAACAACAAAAAUUGAGAUAUCUGUUCACCACUUUGUGUGUCCAAGGACCACCUACUUUUUACAUGUGACAAGAACUACCCACCUCCACUCUUCAGGAUAGAACAUGCUGAAGAAAAGAGUUGCAAUGAGAAAAUAUAUGGGAACAAAAUACCUAUGCAAUGCAGAAGUCUGCAUAACUGAACCACUCAGAGGAAAAAGAUUGCCAUUUCAGGACACCUCCUACAUCUGAGGAAAUAUGCAUUGAUCUUGCAGUACUUUUCUCCUCCAAAUAAAAGUCAGUAUGAUAACAACUACACUAUCAGAAGUCUAAGCCAAAGGACACUUCAGUUAUCCAAUCUUGCAACAAAUACAUUUAAGCACUUAAUAUGGGCUACUGUUGGUACUAGGGGCAUUGAGAACUUCAGAUUUGAUUAACACCCAAGAGCUGCUACCAUAAAAUAAACUAGGCAGCUACUAGGCAAUAAGAUGAGGCACAUGUGUAAAACUUCUGCUUUUAGCUUGGUGAAGAGUGGUUACACAGCCAUUAUUACAAAAAUUACAUUUUUCCACAAAUAAAGACAUCACUUUUCUAGAGAGUA
rnacentral:lncRNA from 1 species